AGGUACAGAGGGCAGCUACCCAGCAAUGGGAUGCGAAUCUCGAAAGCCUGUCUCAGUUCGGAUUGGAGGCUGAAACCCGCCUCCAUGAAGUUGGAUUCGCUAGUAAUCGCGCAUCAGCCAUGGCGCGGUGAAUACGUUCCCGGGCCUUGUACACACCGCCCGUCAAGCCAUGGGAGCCGGGGGUGCCUGAAGUUCGUGACCGCAAGGAGCGACCUAGGGCAAAACUGGUGACUGGGGCUAAGUCGUAACAAGGUACC
rnacentral:rRNA from 1 species